CAAAGAGAGGGAGGAAAUUAAGAGGUGGGACAUAACAUAAAUAAUAAAAUAGAACUUUAAUGUUUUGUCACCUUUUUU
rnacentral:ribozyme from 1 species